AGGUAUCGGAAUGCAUUGAUAAAGUGAAUAUUACAGAUUUUCUUGAACAAAAAGGUAGUUCAAGCGUUUAACAUGCUCUCAAAGGUCGGAGGGGCAGAAAUACGUGAUAAUGUGAAAAGAAACAUGAAUCAUGGGAAAUGAAAAUGAUAUUACAAACGCCAUUGGCCAUUAACAUGUUACAUCCUCCGGACAGACGAGGGGUGGUGAGAGAAGGUCAUAUAUCUAAAGGCAUCAUACCUCCAAAUUCGUGCUAAUUCUCGUGGAUAUUUAAAAGUACAUUUGUGUAUAACUUUGUGAAGUAACUAAAAGGAAGUAAUUUAUACGUUAGUGACAAUUAUCAAAAGGAGGUCAAAAUAUGAAAAAUACCACUAAAUGUUUUAGUAAUGCUGUAGAAAUAUAGUUAAAAUACUGAAUAUCUAUCAUUAAUUGCUUGAAACAUUAUUAUCCGAAUCUUUUAACUUUUCUUAAAAUUAAAAUAUUUUCAUUAUUUUGU